rnacentral:rRNA from 1 species
AAUAUUGGACAAUGGGGGGAACCCUGACCAAGCCUUCCCGCGUGUGUGAAGAUGGUCUCGGGAUGUUAACGCACUUUAAGUUGGGAGGAAGGCCAGUAGUUAAUUACUUUGUGGUUUUGCGGUACCCGACAAAUUAGGCACCGGCAACUUCCUUGCCAGAGCCCGCGGUAAUCCGAAGGGUGCAAGCGUUAAUCGGAAUUACUGGGCGUAAAGCGCGCGUAGGUGGUUUGUUAAGUUGGAAGUGAAAGCCCCGGGCUCAACCUGGGAACUGCUUUCAAAACUGGCAAGCUAGAGUACGGUAGAGGGUAGUGGAAUUUCCUGUGUAGCGGUGAAAUGCGUAGAUAUAGGAAGGAACAUCAGUGGCGAAGGCGACUACCUGGACUGAUACUGACACUGAGGUGCGAAAGCGUGGGGAGCAAACAGG